rnacentral:rRNA from 1 species
GACGAACGCUGGCGGCGUGCUUAACACAUGCAAGUCGAACGGUAAGGCCCUUCGGGGUACACGAGUGGCGAACGGGUGAGUAACACGUGGGUGAUCUGCCCUGCACUUCGGGAUAAGCCUGGGAAACUGGGUCUAAUACCGGAUAGGACCACUGCCUGCAUGGGUGGUGGUGGAAAGCUUUUGCGGUGUGGGAUGGGCCCGCGGCCUAUCAGCUUGUUGGUGGGGUGAUGGCCUAGCAAGGCGACGACGGGUAGCCGGCCUGAGAGGGUGAACGGCCACACUGGGACUGGGGUACGGCCCAGAGUCGUACGGGGGGCAGCAGUGGGGAAUAGUGCGCAAUGGGCGCAAGCCUGAUGCAGCGACGCCGCGUGAGGGAUGACGGCCUUCGGGUUGUAAACCUCUUUCCGCACCGACGAAGCGCAAGUGGCGGUAGGUGCAGAAGAAGGACCGGCCAACUACGUGCCAGCCGCCGCAGUAA